rnacentral:rRNA from 1 species
UGGGGAAUAUUGCACAAUGGGGGAAACCCUGAUGCAGCGACGCAGCGUGCGGGAUGACGGCCUUCGGGUUGUAAACCGCUUUCAGCAGGGAAGAAGCCUCACGGUGACGGUACCUGCAGAAGAAGUACCGGCUAACUACGUGCCAGCAGCCGCGGUAAUACGUAGGGUACGAGCGUUGUCCGGAAUUAUUGGGCGUAAAGAGCUCGUAGGUGGUUGGUCACGUCUGCUGUGGAAACGCAACGCUUAACGUUGCGCGUGCAGUGGGUACGGGCUGACUAGAGUGCAGUGGGGGAGUCUGGAAUUCCUGGUGUAGCGGUGAAAUGCGCAGAUAUCAGGAGGAACACCGGUGGCGAAGGCGGGACUCUGGGCUGUAACUGACACUGAGGAGCGAAAGCAUGGGGAGCGAACA